AACCCAGAAAUCUUCAAUUUAUCAUCAAAGCCACACCCAAGUUCUGUAAGACUCAUUUUUCUUUGGUAGAUAUCCAACAAUUGAGGCACAUCUGCUUGAUAAUUGAUCACAAACCUUUCCAAGAAGAGCUUUUCAGAAGGUAGCAACACUGAGGAUAAAUAGACGUCUCCUUUGAUCAAACCCUUCAAAAGCAAAACUCUUACAACUGAACAUCUAGGCAAAAUCCUCUUCCUAACAUUCUUGGUCAUAGUUUGGAACUCUGGUGACAGCAGCAGGCUGCCAACCCAUCUUGCACACAAGAAAAUCCAUUGUACCCAUGACUUUCUUCUCAGACAGAGCCAUGCAUCUGGGAUGCUUUCUGAAAAUCAAACAAAUCUCAUCUUCAGACAAACCCAACCUCCUGUAAACCUCCAUUUUGUGUUCCCAUGUUUUGUGCGUCAUUGUAUAAAAAACAAGGACUGCCUCAGCAAAUUUAAUUUUUGAAGGUUCAAAUCCUAGUUUCAUAACCUUCUUAACCCCUUCAGCAAACUUGCCCACUUCUUGGCACAUUAGUGACGGACUUUGGAUGAGCAAGUAAGAGAUGGAAGACUGAGAGACUCCAAGCCCUCUCAAGAGUGAUAAAUUUUUCGAAAGGCUGUACAGCCAAAAAUUUCGUCUCAUGCGUUUCAGGGCCGUAACUACUUUCU
rnacentral:misc_RNA from 1 species